UGCUUAUUAUCUGCUUUUCAAGUAAACUGUCUGUAGUAGCCUUCCUCAAAUAACAAUCUUCUAUCAGUAUCAGACGCAAGUAUAAGGGCAACUAUUCUCCACUAGUGAUCGAUCAUAGUACCAUAUUUUGUGGUUGGUUUAUUUUUAUAAAAUUUUGUAGCAUCGAACCACUGCCACGCCCACAAAACGCCAUUAAUCGAAACCUAAAAAUUGCCAUAACUAAGCCGCAGAUUCAGAUACAAAACUGCAGUUUGGCACAAAGAAUCGCAUUAAUAAGGGGCACCGUGGUUAUAAAAUGUUUAAAAAGUUCCAAGAAACCAAAACGCCCUCUCGUUUGGAACACACUACCUUGCGGAAGGUAACAACCAACACUUCACCAGCGAAAAUUCUAACAUUUUAUUUGGUUAACUUAACAUAGUACAAUUUUGGAUGUUCCGUAACAUGUAGCCAGGAUACCACCGUAGAUAACCAUUCUAUGUUAAAUAUUGUAGCCCUCAACUUUUUAUAUGAAUUGUUUUUAGAUACCAUAACAAAUUAAAAGAAAAAUUAUUUCUAUUUUAUUCAUUUUAUAUAUUUGCAAAUUUCGAUGAAAAGUUCUCAAGCUGAACUUUAAUAUCCC